UACGAACCGUGCGAACGUUGUUCGGAUUCACUGGGCUUAAAGGGCGCGUAGGCGGGCGACCAAGUCCGGGGUGAAAUCUUUCGGCUCAACCGGAAGAGUGCCUUGGAUACUGGUUGCCUCGAGGGAGGUAGGGGCAUGCGGAACUUCCGGUGGAGCGGUGAAAUGCGUAGAUAUCGGAAGGAACGCCGGUGGCGAAAGCGGCGUGCUGGACCUCUUCUGACGCUGAGGCGCGAAAGCCAGGGGAGCGAACGGG
rnacentral:rRNA from 1 species